GUGGGGAAUAUUGGACAAUGGGCGCAAGCCUGAUCCAGCCAUGCCGCGUGAGUGAUGAAGGCCCUAGGGUUGUAAAGCUCUUUCACCGGUGAAGAUAAUGACGGUAACCGGAGAAGAAGCCCCGGCUAACUUCGUGCCAGCAGCCGCGGUAAUACGAAGGGGGCUAGCGUUGUUCGGAAUUACUGGGCGUAAAGCGCACGUAGGCGGGUAUUUAAGUCAGGGGUGAAAUCCCGGAGCUCAACUCCGGAACUGCCUUUGAUACUGGGUACCUAGAGUAUGGAAGAGGUAAGUGGAAUUCCGAGUGUAGAGGUGAAAUUCGUAGAUCUUCGGAGGAACACCAGUGGCGAAGGCGGCUUACUGGUCCAUUACUGACGCUGAGGUGCGAAAGCGUGGGGAGCAAACAGGAUUAGAUACCCGGGUAGUCC
rnacentral:rRNA from 1 species